rnacentral:rRNA from 1 species
GAUGAACGCUGGCGGCGUGCCUAAUACAUGCAAGUCGAGCGAACAGAUGAGGAGCUUGCUCCUCUGACGUUAGCGGCGGACGGGUGAGUAACACGUGGAUAACCUACCUAUAAGACUGGGAUAACUUCGGGAAACCGGAGCUAAUACCGGAUAAUAUAUUGAACCGCAUGGUUCAAUAGUGAAAGACGGUUUUGCUGUCACUUAUAGAUGGAUCCGCGCCGCAUUAGCUAGUUGGUAAGGUAACGGCUUACCAAGGCAACGAUGCGUAGCCGACCUGAGAGGGUGAUCGGCCACACUGGAACUGAGACACGGUCCAGACUCCUACGGGAGGCAGCAGUGGGGAAUCUUCCGCAAUGGGCGAAAGCUUGACGGAGCAACGCCGCGUGAGUGAUGAAGGUCUUCGGAUCGUAAAACUCUGUUAUUAGGGAAGAACAAAUGUGUAAGUAACUAUGCACGUCUUGACGGUACCUAAUCAGAAAGCCACGGCUAACUACGUG